rnacentral:tRNA from 1 species
CAGAUCGACCAGUAUUCGGUGAGCUAUCUGCCCUCCGAAGGCAGGGGUUGCUGGUUCGAUCCCAGCCGGGCGCGCCA